UCCUUUUCUGAAUAGAUCGUGGUGGCUCUCUGAACACAGAUCGAAGUCCUCCCCACACCGAGCCCCCAACGCCGAGCCAUCGCCGCCGCCGCCUUCUCCCGCCGGUGACGCCGCUUUCCCCGGCCUCCACGCCCACCUGGCCUCUGCGCCCGACCAGCGCGCCCCGCCGACUCCACCAGACCGUCGCCACGCCCUCCUCCAGACGCCGCCCCCUCCUCCGGCGUGU
rnacentral:lncRNA from 1 species